CCUACGGGAGGCAGCAGUGAGGAAUAUUGGUCAAUGGGCGAGAGCCUGAACCAGCCAAGUCGCGUGAGGGAGUACUGCCCUAUGGGUUGUAAACCUCUUUUGUCGGGGAGCAAAAGCCGGACGUGUCCGGCUGUGAGAGUACCCGAAGAAAAAGCAUCGGCUAACUCCGUGCUCGCAGCCACGGUAAUACGGAGGAUGCGAGCGUUAUCCGGGUUUAUGGGGUUUAAAGGGUGCGGAGGCGGAUUUUUAAGUCAGCGGUAAAAUCGUGGGGCCCAACCCCAUCCAGCCGUUGAAACUGGGGAUCUAGAGUGUGCGAGAGGUAUGCGGAAUGCGUGGUGUAGCGGUGAAAUGCAUAGAUAUCACGCAGAACCCCGAUUGCGAAGGCAGCAUACCGGUGCACAACUGACGCUCAGGCACGAAAGCGUGGGUAUCGAACAGGAUUAGAUACCCCUGUAGUC
rnacentral:rRNA from 1 species